rnacentral:rRNA from 1 species
UACGAAGGGGGCUAGCGUUGUUCGGAAUCACUGGGCGUAAAGCGCGCGUAGGCGGGUCGUUAAGUCGGGGGUGAAAUCCCGAGGCUCAACCUCGGAACUGCCUUCGAUACUGGCGACCUUGAGUCCGGGAGAGGUGAGUGGAAUUCCUGGUGUAGCGGUGGAAUGCGCAGAUAGUCAGGAGGGAACACCGGUGGCGAAGGCGGGUCUCUGGGCAGUAAACUGACGCUGGAGGAGCGAAAGCGUGGGGAGCGAACAGG